UGGCGCGUAGCUCAAUGGUAGAGCGGCGGUUUUACACACCGUAGGUUGGGGGUUCGAAUCCCUCCGGGCCAAC
rnacentral:tRNA from 1 species